rnacentral:antisense_RNA from 1 species
AAAUACACUGGGGGAAGGGGGUGGAUCCAGUGGUGCGCCCGGAAUGAACUGACCCAAGUGAGCUGGGACAUGUGCAUACAGACAGCAGGGAGACAGGCAGAAGUCAAGGAACUGGAGGCUGAGGAACCCAGCGGACCACGAAAGCAGGGAGAUAACUAGACAGCAUGCUCGGCUGGAAGGACCAAAGUCAGAGAAGGAAAAAUGAAUAAGAAAAUGAGCAGUCAGAGGCAGGUAGGGUGACGGACAGACAGCAUGAAGCGCAGCAGAAUGAAUAGCCAGAAGACUCGGACAGGCAGAGCCGAAGGACCGCAGAGCUCAGCGCCGGAGACAUGAAAACUGAGGCCCAGACCAGCUAAGCAUCUUGAUCAUGGUCACCCAGAGCAACAGUGACGACCAGGAGAAAACUGAUUCCCAGGCCAGUGCUCUUUUGCUUCUGCUUGGUCAGAGAUGUGAGGUCCUUC